rnacentral:rRNA from 1 species
AUCCAAAAAACUCUCGGCAACGGAUAUCUCGGCUCUUGCAUCGAUGAAGAACG